rnacentral:rRNA from 1 species
CAGCAGCCGCGGGAAUACGAAGGGGGCUAGCGUUGCUCGGAAUGACUGGGCGUAAGGGGCGCGUAGGCGGCGAUCAAAGUCAGGCGUGAAAUUCCUGGGCUCAACCUGGGGGCUGCGUUUGAUACUUGAUUGCUAGAGUGGGGAAGAGGGUCGUGGAAUUCCCAGUGUAGAGGUGAAAUUCGUAGAUAUUGGGAAGAACACCGGUGGCGAAGGCAGCGACCUGGUCCUUGACUGACGCUGAGGCGCGAAAGCGUGGGGAGCAAACAGGAUUAGAUACCCGAGUAGUCCCUGUCUCUUAUAC